rnacentral:lncRNA from 1 species
CCAGAGUCUUGUUUAACUAUUCAACAACUGAAUAUUCCUUAGCAUGUAUCUUUCUCCAGAGUUCAUCAGGUCCAGUUUCAAUAGGACUUCCAGAGGCCUGCUUGCUCGACUCAGCUAGGUGCUCUGGUGUGUGUACCCUACCUGUUCUAGUCAAACCUUGCACGGCUAUUGCUUCACCAGUGCGUGCUUUUCCUUUCCUUCUCGCCUCGACUGUGUAGUACC